rnacentral:ncRNA from 1 species
CUUAUCAAGAGCGGUGGAGGGACUGGCCCUAUGAAACCCAGCAACCUGUAAUUUUAAAUAUACAAUAGCUAUAUCUAAAUUAUGUGGUGCUAAUUCCUGCAACUAUUUAGUUGGGAGAUGAGA